AUUUAUUAAAUUAGUAACUAAAAAAUACAUCAAAAUUUAAGAUGGCUAACAAGGAAAAUGGAAUUAAUCUUUUGAGAUGAUGGGAAUGCCUAGAGUAAUGCACAAACUCAAUGGUCACGUAUUACUUAUGGAAAUACAGACUCCUAUACUAAUCAACUCAUAUGCAUAUGAGUUGAUGCACAAAGUCAUUGGCUCACAUACCACCGAAGCUGUUCACCUAAUGGUUUAGAUUCGAUUUUUGGAGGACGGUUAUUUGAGGUAUGUAUCUCUCUUGUAAAGAUCACUUAGAUCAAGUGUUGGUUGGAUCUUUUCUAUUUGAGCUUGAGGUUGGUGUUUGCAGUAAUGCGCUUGGACUCCACCUCAAAUUUAGCUAUAGCUCUACAAGUAUUUUACAUUAAAAAGAAACUUAUAUGGUUACGUCCAGUAAGGUCAAGUCCCGAAGAUCGCCCUCUCUCUUUUUAUAUUAACCAAAAAAAAACUCAUUGGUCACAUCAAUUGUGAAAAAUAUCACUGUUAAAUCUAUUUUUUUUAUUGGAGAUUUGUUCAUCUUCUUUUUACGAUUUCGAAAAUAACUUUUGUUUGAAGAAGCAUGUUCCAAAUAUACUUUUGACUAAAUAAAUAAAUAAACCAAAAGCUAAUUUGGAAAAACUGUAUCAAACUACACCUGUGACAAUCGACUUAUACCUAAGGAAUGAAUGGAGUCAAGUUGAUUAUACUGGUGUGUUGAAAAUUUCAGUUGUCUCACCUAUCUCUGAACAACCUGAUAGCUGACCUGAGAGCAACUUCUGUGUAUGUGCGUGUUUAAUCAAAGUCCUUGAGGACCUUGACUUGCUAUUCUUAACCUGGGUACUUGGAAGAUCAUGUAGCUUGAUUUUUCUUGUAUAUUUAUUUAUCCUCAACAAUAUACCAGGGAAGUCAUAAAAUCUUGAAAUCUUAAUUCAAAUAACAAAUCAUUUACAUUUUAAUCAAUCAAGCAUUCAUGAAUACAUCGCCAUCUUAUACAAGAAUAGCAUGUCUCUCAUGAAAUCCAAUAUAUGUAUGUACAUGAAAGAAGGAGAAGAAGAAGAAAAAAAACAAACAAAUUCCUUUGGAUCAAAAGAAUUAUCUUGAUGCAAACCAAUUAUGCAUGCUAAUCUUUCUAAGCACCCACUUUUGUGGACAUGGUACAUUAGAAACUAACUUGAACACCCUUUCUUUUUCCUGUAAUUGCCAGAGAUUUAGAAUCCUUUCCAGGCAUUGAGAACUUCAUUGAAUAUUUCAGCUAUCAGAUCCCUAUCUGCACAUUGCAUGAAAUCAUUAAAAUCAUCUCGAAUAUCAAAUAUCCUACUGAAUUUCACAAGAUACAUCAUGCAGCUCAUCUUCAGUUUCGGUAGCUGGUACAAUGAUGCACUUUGUAGUCGGUCGAGAACAUUCUUUGUAUCUAUAUCCUCCAAAAGACUCUCAUGGCAUGCCUCUUUCAAGUCGUC
rnacentral:lncRNA from 1 species